rnacentral:rRNA from 1 species
AUUGAACGCUGGCGGCAGGCUUAACACAUGCAAGUCGAGCGCGCGGCGGCCGGGUGAGUAAUGUCUGGGAAACUGCCUGAUGGAGGGGGAUAACUACUGGAAACGGUAUCUAAUCCCGCAUACCAUCAGAUGUGCCGAGAUGGGAUUAGCUAGGAGGGGGGGUAAUGGCUCACCUAGGCGACGAUCCCUAGCUGGUCUGAGAGGAUGACCAGCCACACUGGAACGGAGACACGGUCCAGACUCCUACGGGAGGCAGCAGUGGGGAAUAUUGCACAAUGGGCGCAAGCCUGAUGCAGCCAUGCCGCGUGUGUGAAGAAGGCCUUCGGGUUGUAAAGCACUUUCAGCGAGGAGGCGUUACCCGCAGAAGAAGCACCGGCUAACUCCGUGCCAGCAGCCGCGGUAAUAC